AUCAUUGACAGCACCAAGAGAUCGCACCGCGGCCGCUCGUAAGGGUCGCGUGGCCCUUCGUUGCCCCCAACGGGCGUGGGCGCAGUGGAGCGCAUGGCCGUCGCGUACGUACGACGACCCCAAGUCUGCAUGGGCUGGUGACCCUUUGCUAUCCUUAGCAGCUGGUGGCGGGGGGUGGGGGACCGGGGAACCCCCAACGAGAUCCGUAGGACAGCAACGCGGAGGCGUCCGUCGACUCCACAAUGAGGAACACAUGGGCGCCGUUUGCCCAUGUACGAGGGACGGCCGUGAGCCAUGGCGUCCACUGGUCGGUGAUCCACACGACAUAUGCGUGCGGCCGGGACGCGUACGGCUGCGUUCCGGAAGUCGAGGCAUCCAACCCUCUCGUCCGCAGAUCUAUCUGAGCCCUGUCGUCGGACGAGAUCCAUAAUAUUUUGACAUUCACAACAGGCCUGCAGAUCCAAGAUGAGCUGGAGAUUCCCGAGGAACUGUGAUGACACAUGGCUAAUGGAAUCCAAAUGUGUGCCAAGAAGAUACCGGCAGAUGAACACCCCGAACUAGAGGAGAUUCCCUUUUGCAUCUUUUCAUAGAUAGCUGCUCCGUGACAUGGUUUAUGAUUUCCAACUUCAAGUACAUGUAAUUGGCCAAUACAAACUGCACUUGUAGGUCCAUAGCAUACGAAGAACCAUCGAGAUAGCAAACUGGAUUUGUUCAUGGAAAAAGUUGGUCUUGCAACUGUUAGAACGUACGAUUUCAUAAAUGGAUAUUAAUUUUUUGGCUUUGUUA